rnacentral:rRNA from 1 species
UACGAAGGGGGCUAGCGUUGCUCGGAAUCACUGGGCGUAAAGGGUGCGUAGGCGGUCCUUUAAGUCAGGGGUGAAAUCCUGGAGCUCAACUCCAGAACUGCCUUUGAUACUGGGAAGCUUGAGUCCGGAAGAGGUGAGUGGAACUCCGAGUGUAGAGGUGAAAUUCGUAGAUAUUCGGAAGAACACCAGUGGCGAAGGCGGCUCACUGGUCCGGUACUGACGCUGAGGUGCGAAAGCGUGGGGAGCAAACAGG